AAGUCGUAACAAGGUUUCCGUAGGUGAACCUGCGGAAGGAUCAUUAAAGAGACGCUGCCCUUCGGGGUAUACCUCCCACCCAUUGUUUAUUUACCUUUGUUGCUUUGGCAGUCCCGGCUUCGGCCCACCGGCUCCGGCUGGUCAGUGACUGUCGAAGAUACCAAAAUCUCUGUUUGUUAAUAUUGUCUGAGUACUAUAUAAUAGUUAAAAC
rnacentral:misc_RNA from 1 species